rnacentral:rRNA from 1 species
GGAAGCCUACGGGACGCACCAGUCGAGAAUCAUUCACAAUGGGGGAAACCCUGAUGGUGCGACGCCGCGUGGGGGAAUGAAGGUCUUCGGAUUGUAAACCCCUGUCAUGUGGGAGCAAAUUAAAAAGAUAGUACCACAAGGGGAAGAGACGGCUAACUCUGUGCCAGCAGCCGCGGUAAUACAGAGGUCUCAAGCGUUGUUCGGAAUCACUGGGCGUAAAGCGUGCGUAGGCUGUUUCGUAAGUCGAGGGUGAAAGGCGCGGGCUCAACCCGCGGACGGCACAUGAUACUGCGAGA